UAAGUUUUGAGUUUCGGCGCGGAAAAAAAAGCAGUUUGCAGCCAGGAAGUUGAGCCUGCGCGUCUUUUUUCCCCACCCUCUCUCCCCCUCACGGUUUAUUUUCCCCCUCACGAGACGGGGCGGUUUGGAACCUUGGGAAGGAGUGCGCGAGCCACAGUAACAAGAUGUCAAAGAGAAAAGCAACAAAAGAUUUCAAAAAGAAAUUGGCAGGAUAUCAAGCCAAGCAGUACUCUCAUGGUAAAUUGUUUUCAUCUGAGGAGCCUGAUGUCUCAAGUAUUUUGAAAAUUCCUGGAACCGGGCAAACAGAGGAAACUGAUGACUUAUUUGAUCAUCCUUUACAUAGCACUGCUCUGUCUGUGUAUGAAGAGGGAGAAGAGGCUAAUAAUAGGUACAAGCAGCAUUCAACAAUCAAUGAGCAUACCAGCAGUUCCUCUGAUCCAGAGCUCCCAAAGAAAAAUACAAAGAAAAGAAAAACUAACACUCUGAAAACAAUAGUGAGUACUGAAGAUUCAGAAGAGGAACCUUCAGUAAAGAACACGAUACCCAAGAAAAAGACUAAAUUCCAUGUAAAUAAGAAUGUUUUACCAGAAAGGGAGACAAACUGUCCAGUUUCAGAAAAAGUUCUAAAACAGCCAACAAAAGUUACCAGAUGUGUUACCAAGGAAAAAGUUGUUUUGAAGGAACUUGAAAAGAUAACAACAGAAUACAAAGAAGAAGUGGAACAAGAGAAGUAUAAAAAUGUUAUUGAUAAAUUUCAUGCCAGGCUCAAAGACCAACUCACCGACAUUUCUGCAGAUGCUGAGAAACUGAAAAAUACAAAAUUGAAACAAACAAAGAUGAUCAGAAAGACAAAUAAGACAAGACAACGUUUAAUAGAAAUUAAAGGAGAACUAUUUAGAAGUGAACCAGAACUGAAGAAACUAAAGAAAGAACACAGCAAACUAAAUGAAAAAAUAACCUGUCUCAAGAACGCAGUUCAGUUUAUCAAAGAUUUAAAGAGUCUGCAGCAAAUGAAGGAUGAAAAGGAGAACUCACAAGAAAAAUUAGGAACUAUUCAGUGGCACUGAAAAAAAAUGGACUUAACAAUUAUCCCAGUUCUGGCUGUGCAGUGUCCAAUUCAUGACUAUGACAUUGCAGUGAGCCACUCACAAGAUUGCCAUUUGCAAUUUACCCUGCAGGCUUCAGACAAGCAAAGUCAAUGGAGAAGUCAGCAGGUAUGGCAUUUCCAGCCUUCCUGCGCUUCUGAUGGAGUCACGAAGAAUUUUAGGAGCAGAAAGUCACUUACAGAAUAUCAACACAAAAUUACAGGAAAGUUUGGAAUUGCAAAAAACCAACUAAAUAUUCAUACUAUAAAUUACUAUAAAUUCUGUGUUAUCAGAUGUACAAUGUAUUAAAAUACAAAGUUGAAGCUGAAGUAAGAAAAUUGUAAAUAAUUGGAUUUUUUUCAGUGAUCUAAACUCCAUAAAUUCCUUUUGGCAUGCUUACUGGUAUAUUUAGAAUUCAAAUAAAAAUAAAAAUAUUUUGUUUGGCAAAGAAGAAAUUAUGAGGCAAUAAAACAGACCAUUGAAUCAUAAAUAUAGUAUUUUAAUAGAUUUACUUUGUGUGAGAGAGCAA